AACCCCCCCCGUUCUCGCAAAAUAACACAAAGCCUAGCAAACGUCCUACGGUCCAUUCGAAGGUUGGAUAUGCAGUCAACAUCACUAAGACCAAAUAAGCGGCUCAAAUGUUUUUCUUGGUCAGGCAAUUUACGAAUUAUCUCAUAUUUUAGGGCUCCAGACUCACGCCUUCUUUUGCCUAACCUAGUCUUAUGAUAAUAGACAAAUAACAACGCCACUUUGAUCACAUGAACUCGUAGUAUUUCUUGCAGCAAAACAAAUUGCAUAUCACGCAUACGAAUGUCUUCCUUUCCAGGCAUAUUGUGAAUUCAAUGGCAG
rnacentral:lncRNA from 1 species